AGAGUUUGAUCCUGGCUCAGGAUGAACGCUAGCGGCAGGCUUAAUACAUGCAAGUCGAACGGUUACAGCAAUGUGACGAGUGGCGCACGGGUGAGUAACGCGUACAUAACAUACCUUUAACUGGCGAAUAGCCUUGGGAAACUGAGAGUAAUACGCCAUAACAUUGUAGCUUGGCAUCAGGCAGCAAUUAAAGUUCCGGCGGUUAGAGAUUGAUGUGCGUUGGAUUAGAUAGUUGGUGAGGUAACGGCUCACCAAGUCAACGAUCCAUAGGGGGCGUGAGAGCGUGGUCCCCCACACGGGUACUGAGACACGGACCCGACUCCUACGGGAGGCAGCAGUAAGGAAUAUUGGUCAAUGGGGGCAACCCUGAACCAGCCAUGCCGCGUGCGGGAUGAAGGCGUUCUGCGUCGUAAACCGCUUUUAGAGGGGAAUAAAUCCCGAUACGUGUAUCGGACUGAAGGUACCCUCGGAAUAAGCACCGGCUAACUCCGUGCCAGCAGCCGCGGUAAUACGGAGGGUGCAAGCGUUAUCCGGAAUCACUGGGUUUAAAGGGUGCGUAGGCGGUUUUGUAAGUCGGUAUUGAAAGUUUGCAGCUCAACUGUGAAAUUGGUAACGAUACUGCAAGACUUGAAUC
rnacentral:rRNA from 1 species